CAUGAUUUUUCUUGAUCUUUCAAGAUUUCAUUUUUCGUUAUUUUUCGAUGUUUUUUCAUUUCUCGAGAUUUUUCGUGACACUGAAGCGGUUCCAGCAGUACAUUCUCAGCAAAGAUAUAGGCUUUAUUUUAUUUUUUUAACUACUUUAUUAAAAAUAUAUAUCAUGCUGGCAACAUUUCAUGCAAACUACAACUUGUAACUCACAGAAACCCCCAAAGGACAGGCCUCUUCCUGCAGUGGCGGCCAGCUCCAGCUCAUCGGGUUCUAGAGGUGACGGUGGAUGCGCAGAUGAUGCGCUACUUGUGAAAAACCCUCAAUGCUUUUGAAGCACAAGCAGUUGAGGACAAAGGCAGUCUGCCAAAGAAACCACUCAGCUCCUCUGAAAGACAAGGAGCCGGGGAAGCAAAGAGAAGAAAACGUUCCUGUGAAGAUCUUUCACAGAAGCCCCACUCAGACUCUCCACUGUCUGCUGUAAGUUCAUCGUUUGUACAUCACAAUUAGGUGGUGUA